rnacentral:rRNA from 1 species
GUGACCUGCGGAAGGANCAUUAUUGAAAUAAACCUGAUGGGCUGCUGCUGGUUCUCUAGGGAGCAUGUGCACGCCUUGUCAUCUUUAUAUCUCCACCUGUGCACCUUUUGUAGACCUUUCAGGUCUAUGUUGCUUCAUUUACCCCCAAUGUAUGUUAAUAGAAUGUUGUGCCUAUAUAAUAUAUACAACUUUCAGCAACGGAUCUCUUGGCUCUCGCAUCGAUGAAGAACGCAGCGAAAUGCGAUAAGUAAUGUGAAUUGCAGAAUUCAGUGAAUCAUCGAAUCUUUGAACGCACCUUGCGCUCCUUGGUAUUCCGAGGAGCAUGCCUGUUUGAGUGUCAUUAAUAUAUAUAUCAACCCUCCUCUUUUUGAGUGGUUUGGAUGUGGGGGUUUGCUGGCCUCUUAGAGGGUUCAGCUCCCCUGAAAUGCAUCAGCGGAACAACCUGUUCAUUGGUGUGAUAACUAUCUACGCUAAUUUGAAUGUGAAGGGCAGUUCGGCUUUCUAACCGUCCUUGGACAAUUUCAUCAUUAAUGUGACCUCAAAUCAGGCAGGACUACCCGCUGAACUUAAGCAUAU